rnacentral:rRNA from 1 species
GGCGGACGGGUGAGUAAUGCCUAUGAAUCUGCCUGGUAGUGGGGGACAWCGUCUUCGAAAGGAACGCUAAUACCGCAUACGUCCUACGGGAGAAAGCAGGGGACCUUCGGGCCUUGCGCUAUCAGAUGAGCCUAGGUCGGAUUAGCUAGUUGGUGGGGUAAAGGCCUACCAAGGCGACGAUCCKUAACUGGUCUGAGAGGAUGAUCAGUCACACUGGAACUGAGACACGGUCCAGACUCCUACGGGAGGCAGCAGUGGGGAAUAUUGGACAAUGGGCGAAAGCCUGAUCCAGCCAUGCCGCGUGUGUGAAGAAGGUCUUCGGAUUGUAAAGCACUUUAAGUUGGGAGGAAGGGCAGUAAGUUAAUACCUUGCUGUUUUGACGUUACCAACAGAAUAAGCACCGGCUAACUUCGUGCCAGCAGCCGCGGUAAUACGAAGGGUGCAAGCGUUAAUCGGAAUUACUGGGCGUAAAGCGCGCGUAGGUGGUUUGGUAAGAUGGAUGUGAAAUCCCCGGGCUCAACCUGGGAACUGCAUCCAUAACUGCCUGACUAGAGUACGGUAGAGGGUGGUGGAAUUUCCUGUGUAGCGGUGAAAUGCGUAGAUAUAGGAAGGAACACCAGUGGCGAAGGCGACCACCUGGACUGAUACUGACACUGAGGUGCGAA